rnacentral:lncRNA from 1 species
CGGAGGACCUCUAGCUUCCGUCCUCCUCUGUGUACAUUUACUUUAUUACAAAACCUAGGAGGCUCAUGGAUCUCACCCCCUUCCAUAGACUUACACAGUAAUUAGGAAUUUUGACAACUUCUGGAGGAAAUCCUCCAAACUAUCAGAGCUCUUGCACCAUGAACUGACAUGUUGUCCAUCCAAUCAAAUGAUCAGAGAAUGAGUCUAGUACAGAAAUCAUAAGCUACAGCUAGCUAGCACUGCAAUGCAUAAAAUGUGGUGAGUAGGUGAUUCAAAGAGAAAAACAAUAGUUGAACAGUUUUGAACAAAUUAAUUUCUUCAAAAAUGGAAGAGGAGCAAGAGAGAGAGGUAGAUAUAUUUCAUUCGUUUUUUGACUUUCACUUACUUAGUUAGAAAUUGCAGCUAGCUAGUUUAGCCUACUCAAACACGUGGCUCAAACAGAGGGAUGCUAUGUUGGCUAGCUGACUAUGACUGUCCAACACCGGAGCUCUUCCAAGUCAAGUUGAGAGUGCUUACAGAGGAUGAGAGAGACAUUGGAGAGAAGUUGAUGUGGACCUGAUGAGCGGUGAGGAGGAUAGCCUGCAAAACAGCAAAUGAGUGUGGUUCGUCAAGCCACCUUAUUUCUGGAGUGAGGUGUACUGCCCUUUGUCAAAAACUACAGUGGUUAGAGAGGGAACAAAGAUACUUGGCGAGCCACACCACACGGAUCAUGUCUGGUGCCAUCUGAUGCUUACCUGUUUCCAUCUGGUGCCAUCUGGUGCUUACCUGUUUCCAUCUGGUGCCAUCUGGUGCUUACCUGUUUCCAUCUGGUGCC